UACGUAGGGUGCAAGCGUUAUCCGGAAUUAUUGGGCGUAAAGAGCUCGUAGGCGGUUUGUCGCGUCUGCUGUGAAAACUGGAGGCUCAACCUCCAGCCUGCAGUGGGUACGGGCAGACUAGAGUGCGGUAGGGGAGAUUGGAAUUCCUGGUGUAGCGGUGGAAUGCGCAGAUAUCAGGAGGAACACCGAUGCGAAGGCAGAUCUCUGGGCCGUAACUGCGCUAGGA
rnacentral:rRNA from 1 species